rnacentral:rRNA from 1 species
UGGGGAAUCUUGCGCAAUGGGCGAAAGCCUGACGCAGCGACGCCGCGUGGGUGACGAAGGCCUUCGGGUCGUAAAGCCCUGUGGGGAGGGACGAACAAGCAGCAAUGCCCUGACGGUACCUCCUUAGCAAGCACCGGCCAACUCCGUGCCAGCAGCCGCGGUAAGACGGAGGGUGCAAACGUUGUUCGGAAUUACUGGGCGUAAAGCGCGUGUAGGCGGCGCGACAAGUCGGGCGUGAAAUCCCUCGGCUCAACCGAGCGAACCGCGUUCGAAACUGUCGUGCUGGAGUUCGGGAGAGGGACGCGGAAUUCCCGGUGUAGAGGUGAAAUUCGUAGAUAUCGGGAGGAACACCGGUGGCGAAGGCGGCGUCCUGGACCGAUACUGACGCUGAGACGCGAAAGCGUGGGGAGCAACCAG